rnacentral:lncRNA from 1 species
AAACCCCCCUUCAGGCCUUCACCCUGCCUCCCUCCAAACCCCUCUCGCCCUCCAAUUCUCCAAACCCCUCCGGCCCUCCUUCUCCUCCGAACCCCUCACCCCUUCCAUCAUCUGGACGGCUGGACCUCGACGAGACGACGACUCGAUCCCUCGACUUGCUCCUCCCGGAUCUUCCCCGACUCCGACUUGCUGAGUUGCUGCAGCGCUGACCCCCGACCGGCGACCGGCCGACCCCGACUUGCUGGUGAGUUUCCUCUUCUCCCCUCACCGUCCAUCAUCUCUUUGCUCCUCAGUUCUCAGUCCUCAGUCCUCAACUCCUCAACCGUCCAUCAUCUGUUUNNN